rnacentral:lncRNA from 1 species
UGGAUUAAAAUCUUGUUAGACUAGAAUAUGUUAUCUAAAAUCCUUUUUUGAUAUUCUUUGAUCUGAAAUUUAAAAUAUAUUAUUCUGAAUGAUUUAAAAUAUGACUAGAAUAUGUUGAAAUUUUAUAUGUUGAAAACAUGAUUUUUAUUUGAAUUUAGAAAGCUAUUUCCUUGUGUUAAAACUUAUCUCCUAGUCCCUCUUUUAAUGUCUUAUGAUUUCUAGUCAAAUUGAGAAUGUUAUUUCUUUGUAUUAAAGCUUUUCUCCUCAUCUAUCUUUUAAUGCAUUAUUAUGUUUUCAUUUAUGUUGUUAAUGGGUAUAUACUAUGACUAGUCCAUGGGCCAGGGCUGGGCCAAUUUUAUGUAAUGCAUGCUAAAUCAUGUAUAAUGUAUAUGACCAGUAGAUGGACUGGCUCAAUCUAGCCCAAUAUUAUUUUUGAACUUGAGCCCAAAUAUUGAUUGAAUUAAACUAGACUUGAUUAGUCUAGAUCAAUUCAGGGUGAUUCCGAAUUGAUUGACUUAUUCAAGUUAGUUUAACCUAAAUUGAAC